rnacentral:rRNA from 1 species
GAUGAACGCUGGCGGCGUGCCUAAUACAUGCAAGUCGAGCGAACGGACGAGAAGCUUGCUUUUCUGAUGUUAGCGGCGGACGGGUGAGUAACACGUGGAUAACCUACCUAUAAGACUGGGAUAACUUCGGGAAACCGGAGCUAAUACCGGAUAAUAUUUUGAACCGCAUGGUUCAAAAGUGAAAGACGGUCUUGCUGUCUCUUAUAGAUGGAUCCGCGCUGCAUUAGCUAAUUGGUAAGGUAACGGCUUACCAAGGCAACGAUGCAUAGCCGACCUGAGAGGGUGAUCGGCCACACUGGAACUGAGACACGGUCCAGACUCCUACGGGAGGCAGCAGUAGGGAAUCUUCCGCAAUGGGCGAAAGCCUGACGGAGCAACGCCGCGUGAGUGAUGAAGGUCUUCGGAUCGUAAAACUCUGUUAUUAGGGAAGAACAUAUGUGUAAGUAACUGUGCACAUCUUGACGGUACCUAAUCAGAAAGCCACGGCUAACUACGUG